GUGGGGAAUCUUAGACAAUGGGCGCAAGCCUGAUCUAGCCAUGCCGCGUGAGCGAUGAAGGCCUUAGGGUUGUAAAGCUCUUUCAGCUGGGAAGAUAAUGACGGUACCAGCAGUAGAAGCCCCGGCUAACUCCGUGCCAGCAGCCGCGGUAAUACGGAGGGGGCUAGCGUUGUUCGGAAUUACUGGGCGUAAAGCGCACGUAGGCGGAUCAGAAAGUCAGAGGUGAAAUCCCAGGGCUCAACCUUGGAACUGCCUUUGAAACUCCUGAUCUUGAGGUCGAGAGAGGUGAGUGGAAUUCCGAGUGUAGAGGUGAAAUUCGUAGAUAUUCGGAGGAACACCAGUGGCGAAGGCGGCUCACUGGCUCGAUACUGACGCUGAGGUGCGAAAGCGUGGGGAGCAAACAGGAUUAGAUACCCCUGUAGUCC
rnacentral:rRNA from 1 species